rnacentral:lncRNA from 1 species
AGCACUUUGGAGGCUGAAGCAGGAGGAUUGCCUUGAGUUCAAGGCCAGCCUGUAUUAUAUAGCGAGACCCUGUUUCAAAAAAAAAAGAAAUAAAAAGAACUCUAAAGUUGGGGACAUUCACCCUGCCUGGCACAGGGGUCGUGAGGGCUGAGCAAGCAGAGACAUCCGGGGCACUCUGGCAGUGUUGGGACCCGUUCACCAGCUGGUGGGAUCGGCAAGUUGCCUCCCCGCACCUCAGUUUCCCCAUUUGUGAAGUGGAGCUCCUGCCUCUCAGCGCUUCCGUGACGAUGAGAUGAGGUUCUGACCACACAGCCCUCCGUUGACGCCAGCGUCUGGGAGCCGACCGGCAGGGUCACUCGCUGCUGGCUGAAGGUGGGGGGCCGGAGGGCAGGGCUUGGACUCGGCCACCGGCGGAACCAGGGAUCGGCAGGCAGCUCUGGCUCUCACCACACAGGGCUCUCCCGCAGCCAGGUGGGUGACGCUAGGCGAGCUCCACCCCCUCGUUGUUUUCUCCUGGAACUCUGGAACUCUGGGACUCGCUGCAGCGCCCACCUGGCCAGGUGACUCCCCGCAGGGCUCUCGAUCCCGUGGGGGGGCUCUGAGUCGCUGGGGGGCCCUGUGAGGGGGCGACAUUUUCCUAGUGAUGUUGUAGCUGACGCAAUCUGUGUCCUCCCAGAGAUGGGGCCUUUGGGCUGAGGCCUGGGGGAAGGAGGGCAUCGGUGAGAGGGUGGGAGAGAGGAGAGGGUCCUGCUGAGCCCCCAGGGCAGGUUUCAGCCUCAGGCGCACUCGGGCAACUCCAGGGAGCCUGGCAGCCCAGCUCCCCAGCCGGCCUCUGCGGCCCAGGUGCUGUGUGGCCUGGCUGCCUCAGCGCCCUCUCUGUGCUCCCCUCUCGUUCCCUCGUGAGAGGCUCAGGGUGGCCGCUCUCCCCGUGUGCUGGGCUCCCGGCCCCCGCGGACCCCCUGCCUGGCCCCUGCCCUCGUGGAGGCUGCGGCCGGGCCCUGGGCCAGGGCUGCGCACCUUGACAACCCGCCCACACAGGGCACAAAGGCCCAUUGUUCGGGCCCACGUUGGCGGGGAAGCGGGCGGGGAGCAGCCGCCUUUCACCCAACCGGCUUGUGGUCGGCGGGGACUGAGGAGCGAUUCACAGAGGCCCCCGCCCCCUCCCCGGGCACCUGGCCAGGCCACCUCCCAGGCGGGCACCCUCGCCAAGCUGGGCCAGCUCCUGCCCUGAGCUGGGCCUCAGUUUCCCCAGCUGGGAAAAGGGCAUGGAGUAGCUCUGAGGGCGAGAGCAGAGCUUGUGGCUGGGCCUGGCCCCCAGGUCCCCGCACAGACCUGCUGCCCUGCCGGCUGUCCGCGAAGGUCCCACGUCAGGGUCUGAGGCCCUGCUGGUGGUCGUGGGCGAUCUGGUCUCCUCAGCAGCUUUCGGGCCUCCGCCAGGGAGCCUGUUCUUGGGAGUGAGUGCUACGGAACCUGAAAGUAGCCAAGAGGACACAGUAAAAAGCAGGUCCCCACCUCUGCCUGUGCCCCACCCUCGGGCCCCGGCCCCCAGGCAGCCCCUGAGCUCCUUUAUGAACACACAAACAAACAAGGGCCCGGUCCCGGCCUCCCUGUCCCGCUCCUCGCCCUUUUCUCCCCACGCACAGACGGCAGGAGGUGUGCUCCCCACCCUUCUGCUUGGCCUCUCACUUGCCGAUUGCUCUCAAGGCUGUUCCAGGUUGGCCGGUCCUUCUGACCUUGCACUCGCGUCACCCCCCAUAAUUUAUCACUCAUUUGACUAAAAGGAUUCUCAGCUCAGAAGGCUACAUUUGGGGAUCUGCACUGUCCUUCACCUUUAGUGGCAGCCUGAGAAUAUUUUCAAAAUUUGGCUGGAGACUCUAAGUUGUUUCCACAUCUGUGUGAUUGGACCUAGCUCACUUAACUCUAGUGGGCCCAGACUCUGGGAGGAGAUGGCCAUACGUGGUGUCAGGGAGCCCAGAGGAGGUGACUUUUGUAUGUGUAUAAGUAGGGGUCAGUGAGAGCUUCUCAGAGCAGGGACUAUUUGUGUAGGUCCUUAAGGGACACAUAGGAGUUCAUAUGAGAUGAAAUAUGGAGGUGAGCCUGUCAGACAGAGUGAAGAACUUGCAAUGUAAAACCACCUGAUAGAUACAGAAAGGGGUAUCAGCAUCCAUUUAC